ACUCGCAGGGCUCUCACUGCUCGCGGUGCGGCAGCCGCGCGCGGACUCCGCUGCGCCUCCGAGGGGGCCAGGCACGCGGUCAAGAUCUGUGGCCACUGGUUCCCAUGGUUUCGAGGCACCAUGAGGCUCGCUGGCUCCUGGAAACUUUGGCUUUGGGCAGCACUUCUCCUGCUUCCUGCUUCCACUUCCGUGACGGUUAGGGACAAGCCAGUGGAAAUAGAUGUUUUCCCCAUUGACCUUGACAACACACAUCGAGAAUGUCUAAAAUUACCUCAUGUUUUCAUAUGCAUAUUAGUCUAGAUAGCCUUUUAUUUCUCUCAUUGAUAGUUAAAAAUAUAAAUGUGAAUGUGCAUCUGUGUGUAUGUUUCUCCCUUUCCUCUUUAAAUUCUAAGUUAUUCACAUUAUAAGUAUGGAAACCCAUCACCAGUUAGGAAAGCAGGGAUGUACAUAAGGUUAAUUAGGGAAAGUGAAAAACUGAAUAGGAAAUAGGAAAGGAAAUGUAGUUUAAUUAUUGCCAGUUUUGUAGUGUCAGAUGAGGUGAACCAAAGACAACCAGUCGUGAGAGCACUUUUUAAACUAGAUAGAUAAUACUCACUUGCAAUUGUUAAAUACCAACCUCAUAAAUAUUUCUGAAGGACUUGAAGGCAAUUUACUUCCACUUUAGAUUUUUUAAAAUGGUUAUGUGGCUAAUUUGAAAGACUUUUCUUGAACAUUGAAUAGGUGUUAAGUUCCUGAUGGAGAUCUACUUCGGUUACAAAGUUGCAGUAGAUACAGUGAAAAGCCCUUUGCUAAGCAAAGAGAAACUCCUACGCUCUUUCUGUGCAAAGGAUGACUUGUGAUGUAUUCUGGCCAUGGUCCCAGGUGAAGAUGUGUUCUUAGACUGUGUGUCUUGUGCUUGGUCUUUUAAAUAUCUCUUUCAUAUUUUUUGCUAAACAGGUAUAAACACAUCCUAGUAGAGACUUUUGAGUUUAAAGCAUUCAGAAAAUAAAAACAAUCUCUUAUAAAGAUACAACACUUCUGAGCCUCUCAGUGUCUUGUCGGUCUUUACAGUUUUUUUACUAAUUUCACAGGGUACAUUUCAUAAAUAAUCUACAUGAAAGUUUGAAUAUUCUAACACCAUACAAAUGAUGCCCUGUGGCUGUCAUACUUCUUUGGAGG
rnacentral:lncRNA from 1 species